AUAAAAUUGAGAAUGGAAAUGGGGAAUGUGCCAAAGAGACAACAACCCGACCAUUGAAAAAAAAAAACAACAGCAGAAGGUCACCAACAGGUCUUCAAUGUAGCGAGAAAUUCCCGCACCCAGAGACGUCCUUCAGCUGGCCCCUAAACAAAUAUAUACUAGUUCAGUGAUAAUGAACGCCAUACUAAUUUCCAAAUUGUACACAAGAAACUAAAAUUGAAAUAAUACAAGACUAACAAAGGCCAGAGGCUCCUGACUUAAGACAGGCGCAAAAAUGCGGCGGGGUUAAACAUGUUUGUGAGAUCUCAACUCUCCC
rnacentral:lncRNA from 1 species